UGAGGCACCGUAGCUCCUGGUGUCCAAUGCACACUGGGCACCAGCUCUCAGAGGGGCCACCAUCCUCCCCCACCCACUCCAUCCUCUCCACAGGCACCCUCAUCAACAUGGAGGGCAGAGCCCCAGACUGGUCAGUCCCGCACGGUUAGCUGUGUCCGAGCCUGCACCGCUCCGGCGGUGGGUCACUACCCUUUCCUGCAGACCAGAGGGCAGUGCGGCUGCCAGGAAUUGAGUGACCAGCAGACCUCCCAGAUCUGAAUGCCUUCCCAGGGGGCACCUCCUAGGUGUCUAUGAAGUGGGGACACCACAGGCCACCCCAACAGGGAUGCUCUGAAAACUGGCCCUCAGGAAGAGUGAGAGCACAGGAUGCCCCACACGGCGGGUCACGCAACCUGAGAGGCAAAUGGUGCAGAGGAUGAGAACCCCGGCAAGGAGCUGGCCUUCCUCCUGCCAGGUGACAGUGCGUCUGAGGCAGGAAUGACACCGUGAGAUCUAAGUCUUAGAAAAUUCAGCCAAGUUGUGACGUGACAGCAGAGCUCAGCUCGGAGCCUCUGCAGACCUGCAGG